ensembl:lncRNA
AAAUAGUAGGGUUUCCUGUAGUAAUCAGGUAGAGUUUUUACUUCAUGAUAUUGGAAGUAAAUAAGUAGUCAAAACAUGACAGCUUUACUAUACAUGCUUUUCGCAACCACAGAAGAAGACAAAACAGGAAGUAGUUGGUUGUUGUUAGCUAGCUACUGUUUUUAACAAUCCCGAAUGUAAUCUUCCAUCCUUCGCCAUCCUGUCUUUUAUAACCCAUCUGAGGCCCUCAACAUAAGAAGACUGGAGGCCAUUGUUGGUUACGUAAAAGGUUAAUAUGGCUGCAACAAAAAAGAGGAUCUGAAGAUAGUUAAAUCAAAGGACCUGAGCCCUAGGACCAUGCCCCAGGACUACCUGACAUGAUGACUCCUUGCUGUCCCCAGUCCACCUGACCGUGCUGCUGCUCCAGUUUCAACUGUUCUGCCUUAUUAUUAUUCGACCAUGCUGGUCAUUUAUGAACAUUUGAACAUCUUGGCCAUGUUCUGUUAUAAUCUCCACCCGGCACAGCCAGAAGAGGACUGGCCACCCCACAUAUGCUCUCUCUAAUUCUCUCUUUCUUUCUCUCUCUCGGAGGACCUGAGCCCUAGGACCAUGCCCCAAGACUACCUGACAUGAUGACUCCUUGCUGUCCCCAGUCCACCUGACCGUGUUGCUGCUCCAGUUUCAACUGUUCUGCCUUAUUAUUAUAUGACCAUGCUGGUCAUUUAUGAACAUUUGAACAUCUUGGCCAUGUUCUGUAUUAAUCUCCACCCGGCACAGCCAGAAGAGGACUGGCCACCCCACAUAGCCUGGUUCCUCUCUAGGUUUCUUCCUAGGUUUUGUCCUUUCUAGGGAGUUUUUCCUAGCCACCGUGCUUCUAUACCUGCAUUGCUUGCUGUUUGGGGUUUUAGGCUGGGUUUCUGUUCAGCACUUUGAGAUAUCAGCUGAUGUACGAAGGGCUAUAUAAAUAAAUUCGAUUUGAUUUGAUUUGAGAGAGGGUGAGAUUGUGGAUGAGACAGACUCUGGGGUUUAUAGAUCCAUUGUUGUUGCUCUCUGCAGAAAUAGGUUGCAUUUAUUCUCUCAAAGGAGAAGGGAGCUACACAUCUCUUCCUCCUCCUUAUCAUCCUAUUUUUUCUCUCUCAGGGGGGCUGCAUGCAAAGAUCCACUCCUAAUAAUCUUUAUGACCUCCAAAGUUCGUCAGGAAACGUUUAUCUUUCUCUUCCUCUGAACACUCAAACGUGGCUGUCAUGCUUCUCCACAGCUAGCGAAGCUGUGACACCGCUAAAUGUUUAUUGAUGCGUCACUAAAAUGUUUAUCUUCUUUGGUGAACUUGCCAUAUAAUGGCCAGGGAGUUGAACAUUUCAAAUAUGAAAUCUGCCCAUUUCCAAGUGGCCAUGUCAAAUUGUCAGACAGAGUAUUUGCUUGAUGCUGUCUGAGUGCUGGCUGGUAAAAACAAUAAAUAAAUUGCUCUGUCUCCUCUCUGGCUAAGGGUGUCCUCUUAUAACUGCACAGAGAGAGGGAGGAGGGGAGAGGAGAGGAAAGAAAGUGAGAAAGAUGGGCAUAGAGAG